rnacentral:rRNA from 1 species
GACGGACGCUGGCGGCGUGCCUAAUACAUGCAAGUAGAACGCUGAAGGAAGGAGCUUGCUCUUUCUGGAUGAGUUGCGAACGGGUGAGUAACGCGUAGGUAACCUGCCUGGUAGCGGGGGAUAACUAUUGGAAACGAUAGCUAAUACCGCAUAAAAUUGAUUAUUGCAUGAUAGUCAAUUAAAAGGUGCAACUGCACCACUACCAGAUGGACCUGCGUUGUAUUAGCUAGUUGGUGGGGUAACGGCUCACCAAGGCGACGAUACAUAGCCGACCUGAGAGGGGGAUCGGCCACACUGGGACUGAGACACGGCCCAGACUCCUACGGGAGGCAGCAGUAGGGAAUCUUCGGCAAUGGACGGAAGUCUGACCGAGCAACGCCGCGUGAGUGAAGAAGGUUUUCGGAUCGUAAAGCUCUGUUGUAAGAGAAGAACGAGUGUGAGAGUGGAAAGUUCACACUGUGACGGUAUCUUACCAGAAAGGGACGGCUAACUACGUG